rnacentral:ncRNA from 1 species
GACUUCUGUCCAGUGCUCUGAAUGCCAAAGUGAAGAAAUUCAACCAAGAGCGGGUAAGCGGUGGGAGUAACUAUGACUCUCUUAAUAACCCUCAGACCUAAGCCGGCGAAUCGAG